rnacentral:rRNA from 1 species
UACGUUCCCGGGCCUUGUACACACCGCCCGUCACACCACGAAAGUCGCUUGGACCAGAAAUGCGCCCAAUAAGGGUGCCUUAAGGUCUGAGUGGUGAUUGGGGUG